rnacentral:lncRNA from 1 species
AAACCAGGUACAGUAUUAUUUCGCUUUCUUUUCUGAUUACAGGGGUGGGGUGAAUAGAGAAAGGAACGCAGAUUAUGCCUUUUCAAGUGUUUUGUAGGUAACCGAGGCAGAAAACUGAGCCGACAGUCUCCUAUAGUUUUGUGCUGGGCUGGGGAGGGGAUUUGGGGUGGGUGGUGGUGGCGACAAGAGUCUGGAGGUGGCGGUAUGGAAUCCCAUUAAGGUGCGAUUGGGAGUGAGCCGAGUCUCUUUGACCAGGCUAGAGCGCCAGCGCUCCUCUGACCCGGCACACUUUGGCAAAGUUGCAGUGGCCUGUUUGCUUAGGCACUGAAGUGGAUGACCCAAGUUAGGAUGACAACUUGCAGAGAACGCGGAUGAGACCUUCAGUUUGUGCCCACACUCAUUUGCAGCAACCCUAACAGAGAUUGCGAAGAUUUUCAAAGUGGGGCACCUCGAUUUCUCGAAUCUGUGGUGUGGCGAAUAUCCGUGUUCCUCCUGCUUAACUAGCCUGUUUGAAGGCACAGUUCAUUCUCGAGCAAUUCGUCACCUCCUGGGGGUCUUCUCUUCCCGUCUACAGGAGAGUGUGACUUCAGAAAGAACUUCGGAUUGGCCAAGGCAGGUCUGAUUCUAUUUAUUCUAAAGACAGAGUUGGAGAUGGGCUACCAUUGGUGUUGAUUGAGAUGACAAGCAGUCACCUGAGCCCAUACAGCUGGGUUCACAGAUGUGGCUAGUCUUGCUAGCCAGCUCGCACUGUGGACAUUCUAGGGAACUGACUGCAGUCCUCAUGCUUGGAGUCAAACACUUUAACCACUGCACACGUUUAUGUAAUAGGAUUGACAUAUGAGAAUCAGAGAAAUGAAUGAAAGAUUAGAGUGGGAGAAAGUGCUUGCUGCCAAGCUUGAUGACCUAAAUUGAAUACCUGGAACCUACACGACAGAAAGAGAGAGCUGACUGCUGAAAGAUGUCCUCAGAUCUUCACAUGUGCACAGUGGCACCUAUCCAACCAUGCACAUAGUAUAUUAAAAAUUAUUUUUUAAAAAAUCCA